GUCCUUUUGUUUAUUAAUUUAAGGUCUGGCCUGCCCACUGAAAUUUAAAUGGCCGCAGUAUUUUGACUGUGCAAAGGUAGCAUAAUCAUUAGUUUUUUAAUUAAAAGCUUGUAUGAAGGGUUGGACGAAGUAAAAUCUGUCUCUAUUUAAUUUAUAUUAAAAUUUAAUUUUUAAGUUAAAAAGCUUAAAUAUUAUUAAAAGACGAGAAGACCCUAUAGAUCUUUAUAUUUUAUUUAUUGAUUUUAAUAUAGAAAUUUUUAUUUUUUAAUAUUAAAAAUAUUUUAUUGGGGUAAUAAAAAGAUUAAUAAAAUUCUUUUUAAAAAAAUACAUUAAUUUAUGAUUGUGUGAUCCAAUUUUUUUGAUUAUAAGAUUAAGUUACCUUAGGGAUAACAGCGUAAUUUUUUUUGAGAGUUCAUAUCGAUAAAAAAGUUUGCGACCUCGAUGUUGGAUUAAAAAUUAUCCUAGGUGCAGAAGUUUAGGAUUUUGGUCUGUUCGACCAUUAAAUUUUU
rnacentral:rRNA from 1 species